rnacentral:rRNA from 1 species
CCUACGGGAGGCAGCAGUCGAGAAUCAUUCACAAUGGGGGAAACCCUGAUGGUGCGACGCCGCGUGGGGGAAUGAAGGUCUUCGGAUUGUAAACCCCUGUCAUGUGGGAGCAAAUUAAAAAGAUAGUACCACAAGAGGAAGAGACGGCUAACUCUGUGCCAGCAGCCGCGGUAAUACAGAGGUCUCAAGCGUUGUUCGGAAUCACUGGGCGUAAAGCGUGCGUAGGCGGUUUCGUAAGUCGUGUGUGAAAGGCGCGGGCUCAACCCGCGGACGGCACAUGAUACUGCGAGACUAGAGUAAGGGAGGGGGAACUGGAAUUCUCGGUGUAGCAGUGAAAUGCGUAGAUAUCGAGAGGAACACUCGUGGCGAAGGCGGGUUCCUGGACAUUAACUGACGCUGAGGCACGAAGGCCAAGGGAGCGAAAGGGAUUAGAUACCCGGGUAGUC